UGGAGGGAAGGUGGGGAUGACGUCAAGUCCUCAUGGCCCUUAUGUCCUGGGCUACACACGUGCUACAAUGGCGGUGACAGUGGGAAGCCAGGUAGCGAUACCGAGCCGAUCUCCAAAAGCCGUCUCAGUUCGGAUUGCACUCUGCAACUCGAGUGCAUGAAGGUGGAAUCGCUAGUAAUCGCGGAUCAGCAUGCCGCGGUGAAUACGUUCCCGGGCCUUGUACACACCGCCCGUCACACCAUGGGAGUUGGUUUGACCUUAAGCCGGUGAGCGAACCGCAAGGACGCAGCCGACCACGGUCGGGUCAGCGACUGGGGNGAA
rnacentral:rRNA from 1 species